GGCAGAGUCGCCUAGUGGACAGAGCACUGGACCGGGACUCAGGAGAACUGGAUUCUAUUCCCAGCCCUGCCA
rnacentral:tRNA from 1 species